GAUUGCAAGCUAGCUCACUGCUCCCCACCACUCUCAGGGAUCAGAUUGCAAAGUAGCUCACUAGGUCACUGCUCCCCACCACUCUUAUGGAUCAGAUUGCAAGCUAGCUCACUGCUCCCCACCUCUCUCAGGGAUCAGAUUGCAAGGUAGCUCACUAGGUCACUGCUCCCCACCACUCAUAUGGAUCGGAUUGCAAGCUAGCUCACUGCUCCCCACCACUCUCAGGGAUCAGAUUGCAAAGUAGCUCACUAGGUCACUGCUCCCCACCACUCUUAUGGAUCAGAUUGCAAGCUAGCUCACUGCUCCCCACCUCUCUCAGGGAUCAGAUUGCAAGGUAGCUCACUAGGUCACUGCUCCCCACCACUCAUAUGGAUCGGAUUGCAAGCUAGCUCACUGCUCCCCACCACUCUCAGGGAUCAGAUUGCAAAGUAGCUCACUAGCUCACUGCUCCCCACCACUCUCAGGGAUCAGAUUGCAAGGUAGCUCACUAGGUCACUGCUUCCCACUACUCUUAAGGAGCGGAUUGC